UACGGAGGGUGCAAGCGGUUAUCCGGAUUUACUGGGUUUAAAGGGUGUGUAGGCGGGCAUUUAAGUCUGGGGUGAAAUCUCCGAGCUCAACUCGGAAACUGCCUUGGAUACUAUUUGUCUUGAAUUAUGUUGAGGUUGGCGGAAUAUAACAUGUAGCGGUGAAAUGCAUAGAUAUGUUAUAGAACACCGAUUGCGAAGGCAGCUAACUAAGCAUAUAUUGACGCUGAGGCACGAAAGCGUGGGGAUCAAACAGG
rnacentral:rRNA from 1 species